GAUACCUCGGGUGGCAUUCCACAUUUGCAACGCAGGCGCUGCCGAAUCCACGGAGAGACGACUCAUAGAAAUGGUCCCAAAGAAAUAAACCUGACAUCGCAUAACAUCUAAAACCUCAAAGCCGUCCACCCAGGAUGGUUCAUUAAUUUAAUUUUUUUGCCAUACUCUAAUAAAACUUUUCAUUUCUCCAUAAACAUAACAUUAUCAUGAUGUAAUGAUUUCCUCAUGAUACUACCAUAGCUUAGCAUUCAACUACAAUCGAUGGCAAAUUGAUAGCAUGGUAAUGGCAAGGGUAAAACUAUACUACCUGGGAUUUGUAGCUAGCAUAGAGAUACGAAUAAUAUUCCUAAUGCAACUAAUAAAGCAACUAGUGCAUAUUAAAAAAAAUAUUUGGGAGAUGAUCAAAGUGUAACUUGCCUUGUCCAAAGCUAUGGUAGUUCUUGCACUCUUCGCAACAACAAGGUUCACACUCCAAACAAUCUAAAAUAAAAAAAUACACACACACAUAAACGUGCUAUUCAAUAAAAAACAUGCCAUGAUGAUGCAUACGUAGGUUGGUUUUAAACUUGACAAGUUUAGCUUCUGUUUUAAAGAUCUUUACAAAAGGUUUGGACAGAUUAUAAACUAAUAAGAAAAUAUGUACUUUGUAAGAAACAAAGGUGAGCUUUAAUUAAAAGCUUAUUUGAUUUUUAUAAGGCAUGGAGCA
rnacentral:lncRNA from 1 species